UUUCCGUUGGUGAACCAGCGGAGGGAUCAUUACCGAGUUUACAACUCCCAAACCCCAUGUGAACCUUACCAAACGUUGCUUCGGCGGGAUGCCCCGGGCGCGGGCCGCAAGGCCUCAGCCCCGGAACCAGGCGCCCGCCGGAGGCCCAAAACUCUUGUUUAUUUAUGUUUCCUCUCCGAGUGGCACAAGCAAAAUAAAUCAAAACUUUCAACAACGGAUCUCUUGGUUCUG
rnacentral:misc_RNA from 1 species